rnacentral:rRNA from 1 species
AUCCUGGCUUAGAUUGAACGCUGGCGGCGUGCUUAACACAUGCAAGUCGUGCGAGAAAGGUCCUCGGGGACUGAGUAGAGCGGCGCACGGGUGAGUAACGCGUGGGUGACCUACCCAGGAGACCGGGAUAACAGUGGGAAACUGCUGCUAAUACCGGGUACGCUUCAUAUUUCACGGUAUGGGGGAAAGGCGGCCUCUGCUUGCAAGCUGCCACUCUUGGAUGGGCCCGCGUCUCAUUAGCUUGUUGGUAGGGUAACGGCCUACCAAGGCGACGAUGAGUAGCUGGUCUGAGAGGAUGAUCAGCCACACUGGGACUGGAACACGGCCCAGACUCCUACGGGAGGCAGCAGUGGGGAAUAUUGCGCAAUGGGCGAAAGCCUGACGCAGCGACGCCGCGUGAGGGAAGAAGGCCUUCGGGUCGUAAACCUCUGUCAGGAGGGAAGAAACCAUGGGAGUCGAAUAGGCUCUCGUGCUGACGGUACCUCCGGAGGAAGCACCGGCUAACUCCGUGCCAGCCGCGGC